rnacentral:rRNA from 1 species
UACGGGGGGGGUAAGCGUUGUUCGGAAUCAUUGGGCGUAAAGAGCGUGUAGGCGGCCCGGUAAGUCCGCUGUGAAAGUCGGGGGCUCAACCCUCGAAUGCCGGUGGAUACUGUCGGGCUAGAGUGCGGAAGAGGCGAGUGGAAUUCCUGGUGUAGCGGUGAAAUGCGCAGAUAUCAGGAGGAACACCGAUUGCGAAGGCAGCUCGCUGGGACGUAACUGACGCUGAGACGCGAAAGCGUGGGGAGCAAACAGG